UCUUAUGUAUGAGCAAAGAAAGUUGUUUUUUUAGAUGAAAUCUACUCCUGGUAAAGAUACUGUGAA
rnacentral:pre_miRNA from 1 species